GGACAGUCCCGAGCCCCGGCAGGCGACUGCUUUCAGCACGCUUUGCUGGAUGGAUGAGACCUGGCAUUCCCAAUUAGGGCACUCACACAAUGCAGCAGCCAGGCUGGGGCAUUGCCAUGCAGCCCAGCUCCUCGGCGCAGGCUCCCUCCAAGAGCCCCACUCCGCCGGCACGGCAGCUCCAAGGGAAGUGCAGAUUGGGAUUUCUGUACAGCACCAUAUUGAAAGGAUGGGGAAGGGGUGCUGGUUUCUCCUAGGCUUCUGAGCUGCAUCAGGAGGGAGCGCUUCCAACUGAAAGGAGCAAGUAACAACCCAUCGGCCAACAGCGAGCAGGCCACCCUAGGGUGGCAGGGGGAUGCCUGCCUGCAGAGCCAGCAGACUACAUUUCUGGAGCCUAAAUAAAAUAUAGUCAACUUGCAUUUGAUCUUGAAAUCUUUCUGUAAGCUGAGAUUGCUUACUUGAGAAAAGAAAUAAUAACUAAAGAAAUUGAAUGGCGGUAAUUUGCCUAUCUUUAAAAAGCAAUGAUUUGAUUACUUCAC